rnacentral:rRNA from 1 species
AGAGUUUGAUCAUGGCUCAGAACGAACGCUGGCGGCAGGCCUAACACAUGCAAGUCGAGCGCCCAGCAAUGGGAGCGGCAGACGGGUGAGUAACACGUGGGAACCUUCCCUAUAGUACGGAAUAGCCCAGGGAAACUUGGAGUAAUACCGCAUACGCCCGAGAGGGGAAAGAUUUAUCGCUAUAGGAUGGGCCCGCGUAGGAUUAGCUAGUUGGUGAGGUAAUGGCUCACCAAGGCGACGAUCCUUAGCUGGUCUGAGAGGACGACCAGCCACACUGGGACUGAGACACGGCCCAGACUCCUACGGGAGGCAGCAGUGGGGAAUAUUGGACAAUGGGCGCAAGCCUGAUCCAGCCAUGCCGCGUGAGUGAUGAAGGCCUUAGGGUUGUAAAGCUCUUUUGCCGGGGACGAUAAUGACGGUAUCCGGAGAAUAAAUCCCGGCUAACUUCGUG